rnacentral:snoRNA from 1 species
GGCCGGUGAUGUAAGAAAAAUAUUUGCUACUCUUGAUGAAGAAAUUCUUCUGUGAUGAUUCUUUAUCCACCAAGAUCUCUGAGGCC